AUGAUCUCCCCAGGGGUGGGGAUGCUUGGGGACCCUCAUUUUGCCUCAAGGCCACCGCAGGGCAAGGCCCAUGUGUGGCAUGCAGCAGGAGUGCAGGACGUCAGCAUGGUGUGGGUUGCGUGCCACCUGCGGUGGGCCAGGCACAGGGCUUCCCUCGGGCCCCCCGGGCCAGGGAUGCCCCUGCGGUGCCGGUGGUCUUGCCCUGGCCCGCCACACAGCGAUUGGCUGCCCGUCACCCGCGGUGACAGGGAUGCCACGCUCAGUGUGGACCCGACCCCCGGCGGGAGAGGAGGCCACUGCCACCCCUGGUGCCACCACCCCCGCCGCCUGCAGAGUAGCGCCUCACGCCAGGGAUUCGCCAUGCCACCAGCCACUGCUGACAMGGGGCAGGGCCACAGGACACGACGACAAGGUGAGAGGAACAACAACGGACAAGGACAGCAGCAGUGGGGGCCACAAGCAGAAGUGCCCGACUCCCUACGGUGGCCCAGGAGGGCUGGUAGAGGCAGAAGACGACAACAGAACCGAGGGAACUCGUAUUUUAAGCUGCAGACAGAGCCAGGGAAACAUGAGAAAGGAAAGUAUUUCAUGGAACAGGAUCCAAAUGCAUCUUCAACAAGUGGCUGGAGGAGGCAGUAUGGCCAGCACUGGUUUUCUGCACAGGGACAGCAAGGUCAAUGGCCUACCACGACAGCCUGGCAUAGUGAAAGCAACAAGAGCAACCAGCACCAUCAGUCUGAGCCCUUCCUCCAAGACUGGGCAUGUGGGCAGAGCAGCCCAAGAGAGUUCUCACAGCACUACUCUGCCACUGGAAAGAGGCAGCCCAAGGCUGCCCAUUCCACUCACAAAUGUUACUACUGCACUUUUUUAGGGACACAGCAAUGUUGUUGGAUGUUAGCAGGCAAUGGCAGCAGAUCCCAGAAGAGGAAUCCAAAAUGUUGGAACAUAAAACAACACCGCUGGACCUCCAGGUUCCAUGUGCCAGCAAGGGUGCGUGAAGCUUUGGCCACCCUUCUUCGUCCCAUGAACUUGUGGGGAUGGUGUGCACGAGGGAUGUGUGCACCCCGCAACACGACCCAGUUUAUUAUGAACCAGGUAUAUCAGGACAUGAGGAAACAGGAGAAGGAAGCCGCAGCAGCAAGCAAGAAAGCAGCAGCAGCAAUAUCUAACAUAGACGAAGAGGAGCUAGUGACAGACCUCCACAGAGAAAAUACCAGCAGUCCAGUGGUUGAGGAUUUCACUUCCACAGUCCCUUUCUCUUCCACAACCCAAGAGAAAGAUAUCUUUACAGAAGAGGGAGAGGAGGAGAGUGGACAGCACUUGAAGUGUGAGCCUUUCUGCCAAGACUAG
rnacentral:lncRNA from 1 species